rnacentral:rRNA from 1 species
CCUACGGGGGGCUGCAGUGGGGAAUAUUGGACAAUGGGCGAAAGCCUGAUCCAGCCAUGCCGCGUGUGUGAAGAAGGCCUUCGGGUUGUAAAGCACUUUCAGUGGGGAAGAAAGCCUUGGGGCUAAUACCCUCGAGGAAGGACAUCACCCACAGAAGAAGCACCGGCUAACUCCGUGCCAGCAGCCGCGGUAAUACGGAGGGUGCGAGCGUUAAUCGGAAUUACUGGGCGUAAAGCGCGCGUAGGCGGUCUGAUAAGCCGGUUGUGAAAGCCCCGGGCUCAACCUGGGAACGGCAUCCGGAACUGUCAGGCUAGAGUGCAGGAGAGGAAGGUAGAAUUCCCGGUGUAGCGGUGAAAUGCGUAGAGAUCGGGAGGAAUACCAGUGGCGAAGGCGGCCUUCUGGACCGACACUGACGCUGAGGUGCGAAAGCGUGGGUAGCAAACAGGAUUAGAUACCCCAGUAGUC